rnacentral:rRNA from 1 species
GUGCCAGCAGCUGCGGUAAUACGUAGGGUGCAAGCGUUGUCCGGAAUUAUUGGGCGUAAAGAGCUCGUAGGCGGCUUGUCGCGUCUGCUGUGAAAUCCCGGGGCUCAACCCCGGGCCUGCAGUGGGUACGGGCAGGCUAGAGUGCGGUAGGGGAGAUUGGAAUUCCUGGUGUAGCGGUGGAAUGCGCAGAUAUCAGGAGGAACACCGAUGGCGAAGGCAGAUCUCUGGGCCGCUACUGACGCUGAGGAGCGAAAGCAGUGGGAGCGAACAGGAUUAAGAUACCCUGGUAGUCCAUGCCGUAAACGUUGGGAACUAGAUGUAGGGCCUGUUCCACGGGUUCUGUGUCGUAGCUAACGCA